rnacentral:lncRNA from 1 species
GUAAUCGUAAAAAGAAGAGGCGAGAAAUGGCAAGGGCAAAGGAGUUCGCUGCCGGCCUUGCGGGGUGCCGCCUGGCCCUGGGUUCCGCGGGCGCCAAGGUCACAAAUGCCAGUUCUGCCCAUAGAGCCACUGUCGUGUUAUCUAUUUAGACUGAGAGACAAUAUUGGGAGCAGCAGCAUCUCCAGGACUGAUAACACCACAGAGCUGCAUUUAGAAUUUGAUUUGUCAUUCCCCAUUGCUGACAGGAAGGGAAAGUUUCAUUCAUUAGUCAUAAGAAGAAUAGAGAAUGCUGGAUUUCACAAGAAAUCAAAACAUUUGGUUGCAGAUCCAGAAGGCUCCAUCAGUGCUGCACUCAGUGAUGUGAUGUUCACAGAUGGGUGUCAAACUUUAGAGACUGAUCCACUGAUUCCUGAAUUUAAAAGGCACUUCCUGGACUAUCCUUACCUCUUUCUUGUCUGUAUGUCUCAAUCCUGA